GUGUCCUAAUUGUGCGCUGGACACUCCGAGUUCACUCCCUCCGCUCGCGCGCCGACAGCGCCGCGACAGCGUGCGCUUCAAGGAGGAAGAGGAAUAGGAGGUGGAGGAGGAGGAGGCGACGGCGGCAGAGGAGGAGGAGGCGCAGGUGGAGGAGGAGGAGGAGGAGGAGGAGGAGGAGGAGGAGGAGGAGGAGGCGAGGUCCUCGGGCGUGAAUCGGGACAGGGCCGGAGAGGCGCGCGCCGAUUGGCGGAAGAGCAGAACGGGCGCGUGUGCAUUUUGAAUCUCGGCGCGAGGAGAUUUGGACACGCAGUGCGGCUGUUUUUGAGCGGACGGAGUGAAGAUGGAGCCCGCGGAGAUGGAGAUGGAGAUGGAGGCGGCGGCGGAGAGACUGCAGCGGUCCCUCAACAUCGAUGGUGACGAGAAAGCACGCAGGUCCCUCAACAUCGAUGGUGACGAGAAAGCACGCAGGUCCCUCAACAUCGAUGGUGACGAGAAAGCACGCAGGUCCCUCAACAUCGAUGGUGACGAGAAAGCACGCAGGUACCAACAGGAGGCUAAAGAAGCGGCCCAGCAGGGGAAUCUAGAACGUUCCCUGGAGCUUUUCCGCCUGGCGUAUCAGCUGCGGCCCAGCGCUAAACUAAAGAACCGAAUCCAGCGACUGCAGGAAGCCAUGCAAGAACAGGAAGAGGAAGAAGAAGGGGAGGAGUUCAUCAACGUGAACGACAGCGGCCUGAUGCUGUAUAAGGAACUCUGUAAUAAACUGUACGACCAUCAGAAAGAGGGUGUGGCCUUCCUCUACGGCCUGCACAGGGACGGGCGGCGGGGCGGCAUACUGGCAGACGAUAUGGGCCUCGGGAAAACCAUCCAGGUUGUUUCCUUCCUGUCAGGAAUGUACGAUGCUGAGCUGGCCAAGCACACGCUGCUGGUCAUGCCCACCUCGCUCAUUAAAAACUGGGUACGGGAGUUUGCCAAGUGGACCCCAGGGAUGCGGGUGAAGGAAUUCCACGGCACCAGCAAAACAGAAAGAAACCGGAAUCUGGAGAGGAUCCAGCGGAAGGGGGGGGCCAUUAUAACCACUUACCAAAUGGUCAUCAACAACUGGGAACAGCUGUCAAUGUUCCAGCAGCAGGAAUUCUGCUGGGAUUAUGUCAUUUUGGACGAGGCACACAAGAUCAAAACCCCGUCCACCAAAACGGCAAAGUGCGCUCGUGCCAUCCCAGCCCGGCACCGCCUGCUUCUGACCGGCACGCCCGUCCAGAACAACUUGCGAGAAAUGUGGGCGCUAUUCGAUUUCGCCUGCCAGGGUGCGCUGCUGGGCACCGCAAAAACAUUUAAGACGGAAUACGAAAACCCCAUCACUCGCGCCAGAGAGAAAGACUCUACACCAGGAGAGAAAGCCCUGGGCCUUAAAAUCUCCCAAAACCUGAUGGAGCUCAUAAAACCAUAUUUCCUUCGCCGGACGAAGGAUGAGGUGCAGCAGAAAAAGCAGAGCGCUAAGGGAGCUGAAGAGGAACUGAAAGAGGAAACCGAGGAAAAGGAGGAUAAAGAGAACGGCUGUCCAAAUAUAGGUGAUCCAGCCGAAAUGCCCUCACUGACCCGUAAGAACGAUUUAAUCAUCUGGACGUACCUGAGCCCAGUGCAGGAGGACAUUUACAAACAGUUCAUUUCUCUGGAUCACAUCAAAGAGUUGCUGAUGACCACACGCUCUCCGCUGGCUGAGCUGACCGUGCUAAAGAAGCUUUGUGACCAUCCUCGUCUGCUCUCCGCUCGAGCAGUCACUCAGCUGGGCCUGGAGGAGGGGCCGGCCACUGACCAUGCCCUCCAGGAGGAUGAGGGCGAAUCUGCAGCUGGCCGUAUCGACCGCAUCUCGGACAAGACUCUGUUGGAAGAAUCUGGAAAACUGCGCUUCCUCAUGUCUCUGCUGGAACAUCUCAGAGAGGAAAAUCACCGGACACUGGUGUUCUCCCAGUCCAGGAAGAUGCUGGACAUUAUUGAACGUGUCCUGCGGAACCGGAACUUUCGGAUGCUGCGAGUGGACGGUACGGUGACCCACCUGGCUGAGAGAGAGAAGCGCAUUGCCCUUUUCCAGACAGACAGACGGUACUCGGUCUUUCUUCUGACCACGCAGGUGGGCGGAGUCGGCAUUACGCUGACUGCUGCUAACCGGGUGGUGAUUUUUGACCCCAGCUGGAACCCGGCGACGGAUGCGCAGGCGGUGGACCGAGCAUACCGUAUCGGACAGACAGAAAACGUUGUGAUCUACCGCCUCAUCACCUGCGGCACUGUGGAGGAGAAAAUCUACCGCAGACAGGUGUUUAAAGACUCUCUGAUCCGGCAGACGACGGGCGAUAAGAAGAAUCCGUUCCGGUAUUUCAGUAAGCAGGAGCUGAAGGAGUUGUUUACGUUAGAGGAUGCCCACUCGUCCUCCACGCAGCUGCAGCUGCAGGCGCUUCACUCGCAGCAUCGCCGCUCUGACCCAGAACUGGACUCGCACAUCGCCAAGCUGCACCGCAUGGAAAUGUUCGGAAUCUCCGAUCACGACCUGCUGUUCUCUAAAGAGGCUGCGGAGGACGAGGACGACCCACAGGAUGCUGAAUCUGACCGCUACAUCCAGACCCGAGUGCAGAAAGCGCAGGAACUCGUCCAGGCUGAAUCCGAACUGCACGGCCAGAUGAUGGACAGUGUCGCUAACAGCACAGAACCAGCUUGGCUCAGGCUCGCAAAGCAGCGCGAGAUAGAGGAGUCCUCCAGGAAGAAGCCGACAGUCCGAGAGCGUGGGAAAGCUACGCAUGAUUCCAGCCCCCCCUCUGUGGUGGACCUCACCCAGUCCUGCUCAGAUGACCUGAAUGAACUCUCGUACGCUAAUGAGGUGGAGAUCAUCAGUGAAGAUGGAGAGAUGGAAAAUAAGAAUGAGAGGAUGAUUUCUGGAGGAGUCAUGGAAUUAUCUGAUGUGGCUAGUUCUGCAGCUGCUGAAAACUCGAUGAGCACUCCAGUGGAAGACAGUUUAAUCUUCAGGGAGGAGUCCUCCACUCCUCCCUCUGAGGAGGCGCCCUCUGAGGAGGCGCCCUCUGAGGAGGCGCCCUCUGAGGAGGCGCCCUCUGAGGAGGCUUCCUCCUCCAGCCUGUGCAAGCCAUCUCUGCAGAUGGAGGACAAACACGAAGAUCACAGAAACAGUCAGCUUUUCUCCCCACAUGUCGAAUCUCCCAUCCAGUCAGAUUCGUCUACAGCACUGCUGGAGGUGGAGCAAAAUGCAUCUCUGUGCGCAUCUGUGCUGGCCGAGUCAUUCCAGGGAAAAUUUAACUUGCAGCUGGAAGACAGUGCUGACCUGUUCUCGGGUCAGGAGGAGGAGGAAGAGGGUGAAGAGGAGAUGGACCCAGCUGAAGAACAGAAGUUCCAGCUGCAGUUGGACAUCAGUGGAGACAGGCUGGUCAGCAGAGAGGCCAGUGCCUGCGGUUUUCCUGAUAUGCCAAAGUCCACCAUGUCCACUCCUGCCGACGAGUCUUUUCUUCACCCAGUCAGGAAGAAAAAAGCUCAGGUCCUUUGUGACAGUGAGGAGGAGGAGGAGGAGGAAGGGGAGGUAGAAAAACCAUGUUUAGCAAGCAGCCCGUUGGGUGGCAGCUUUAAAAGUCUUGGCUCUUCCACACCGAAGUCUGUGCCGAGAAACGGCGCCCUCCGCAGGCGCAGCUUGAACACCUCAGUAGCUUCCCGACGCUCAUUUGUGGAGUCGCUGCUGGAAGACCUGGAGGAGGAGGCGGAGGAUUAUGUCACCGAGGGGGCGGAGCUUAGUCAGGCAUCCGAAGCCAGUGGAACAUCUGUUGUGGAAUCUGUGGAAGAAGAGGAGGAGCCAAGCGGGGAAACGCUGAAUUCAGAAAACCUGUGUGAGAGCGAGGGAGUGAGCCGAAGCGAGUACGAGAGUGGAGAGGAAGAGGAAGAGGAGGUUGAAGAAGAGCAGAGCUAUUCAACAGAAGAGCUCUGAGAAAAAGUGUCCUCAGAAACGGCACCAAUUAAACACCACCAGGGGGCUCUUGAGACCCCAGUGCAUUCUGGGAAAUGGGGGAUAUAUAUAUAUAUAUAUAUGUGUGUGUGUAUAUAUAAAAUUUGGAGGGGUGGGGUUUAUUGGUAUAUUCAUAGAUUAGCUGAAGUCCUCC
ensembl:lncRNA